AAAAGGUCGGGACAUCGGGGUGAAGAAGAACGAGAUGCAAAUCGCUCGGGGUUUCUUUUUCGGAGGGUCGACGGAGGUCAAGACGGUGCCGAAGACACGCGCUGUAUCGGACACUUCCUGACCCUCUGGUACCGGAGGCAUGACGUCGGGAUAAGGAAUUGUUAAUUCCGUGACACCGGAGCAUCUGGAUACCAACCGCAGAGGACACCUGGACUUCCGGCGCUGCCUGUUUCCGUGUUCUCGUAUUCUUGGCCUGCAGCUAAUUAAAAUUCUGGAGAAUGAAAGCGUGGGCUCCUCGCCCCGCGUCCUUUGAAACAAAACAAUCCCUGGAUGCCUCCGUGAAAGAAAACGUAUUCACGGCCCAUUGACUGAGGGGGGGAAGCUGGGGGAUGACAGGGUCGUGCGAAAAGGGAAACCCGACUUUCCCGUAUAAGCUGUAACUCCGAAAGUACGGUCACUCCGGUUCUCUCUACUCUACACCGUCCUGUGGAACGUGAUCGGAAUGUGGAGAUGAAAGAGAGAUGAAAAAAAACGCAAAAAAAAAAAAUAAUAAAAAUAUACACAGCUUGUCACCUUGUACAAACGGACAGCCCGAGGUUAACGAGGUUCGAAAAUGUCUCGUCUUGACCCUCUCGAGGAGUAUCAAAUAUCGGAGACCUCAACUCCGGGUGACUACAGGAUACGUAUAAAGAACAGUGUAUGCCUAUGUAACACAGAUAUGGAGAGAUCUGAUAGCUGGGAAAAUUUUUUCAAGGCACGGGGUGGAUUUAAUAUUGGAAUUGGUUUUUCAAACGUCGUUCGAGUGCGAUAAAUAAAAUUACUUCGGCUUUCAGCGAUUUGCU
rnacentral:lncRNA from 1 species